AUUGUGUCAGUACGAAGAGCCUCUGUUCGUUGGUGUUUCUGUGCUGGGAGCUUUACUGCUUGGUCUCCAGAUGUUUUUCAAUAGAAUUGUUGACCCCAUAAGUUUCUGGUUAGACUGAACAAGGGCAUCUCGUGCUUAUCAUUCCACCAUCUUCAAAUGACACAAGGGGAAGGAAAUGGAUCUGAAGUGAGUCUAAAUUUCUUCCACAGCACGAUGCUGACUG